rnacentral:rRNA from 1 species
UACGGAGGGUGCGAGCGUUGUCCGGAAUCACUGGGCGUAAAGGGCGCGUAGGCGGUUUGUCGCGUCGGCUGUGAAAACCUAGGGCUCAACUCUGGGCUUGCAGCCGAUACGGGCAGACUAGAGGUAUGCAGGGGAGAACGGAAUUCCUGGUGUAGCGGUGAAAUGCGCAGAUAUCAGGAGGAACACCGGUGGCGAAGGCGGUUCUCUGGGCAUUACCUGACGCUGAGGAGCGAAAGUGUGGGGAGCGAACAGG